UACAGAGGGUGCAAGCGUUAAUCGGAAUUACUGGGCGUAAAGCGUGCGUAGUCGGUUAUUUAAGUCGGAUGUGAAAUCCCCGGGCUCAACCUGGGAAUUGCAUUCGAUACUGGAUAGCUAGAGUUCGGCAGAGGGAAGUGGAAUUUCUGGUGUAGCGGUGAAAUGCGUAGAUAUGCGGAGGAACACCGAUGGCGAAGGCAAUCCCCUGGGCCUGCACUGACGCUCAUGCACGAAAGCGUGGGGAGCAAACAGG
rnacentral:rRNA from 1 species